rnacentral:rRNA from 1 species
GAGUUUGAUCAUGGCUCAGGAUGAACGCUGGCGGCAGGCCUAACACAUGCAAGUCGAGCGGAUGACGGGAGCUUGCUCCUUGAUUCAGCGGCGGACGGGUGAGUAAUGCCUAGGAAUCUGCCUGGUAGUGGGGGACAACGUUUCGAAAGGAACGCUAAUACCGCAUACGUCCUACGGGAGAAAGCAGGGGACCUUCGGGCCUUGCGCUAUCAGAUGAGCCUAGGUCGGAUUAGCUAGUUGGUGGGGUAAUGGUUCACCAAGGCGACGAUCCGUAACUGGUCUGAGAGGAUGAUCAGUCACACUGGAACUGAGACACGGUCCAGACUCCUACGGGAGGCAGCAGUGGGGAAUAUUGGACAAUGGGCGAAAGCCUGAUCCAGCCAUGCCGCGUGUGUGAAGAAGGUCUUCGGAUUGUAAAGCACUUUAAGUUGGGAGGAAGGGCAGUAAGCGAAUACCUUGCUGUUUUGACGUUACCGACAGAAUAAGCACCGGCUAACUCUGUGCCAGCC